AUCUAACUUGUUUUGUAUUUUUUUUUAAAGGUAACUUAAUUACUUUUUUGUAGCAAAAUGUUUUAUAAUUAGAUUCAUUUUCAUGUUGUGAAGAAUACAACUUUCUACAUCAGAUGAGAUAUAAGUUAAAGAAAGCAUUAAAAAUAAGAAUAACAAAUCAUACCGCUCUUCAUUGCCAGAACCUCCGCCACCUAUUAUGAAUAAACCCUAUGCUAAAAAGUUGUUAUCAGAUUCAAAGAUUGAAGAAGAUAAUUUUUCUUCACAUUUUGUUGAUGAACACCAAGCAAAGUUCACAUUGUCAAAGAGUUUUAAGUUUUAAUAGAUGCAAAAUGUUAUUCUCAAGGAGCUUGCAGAAAUAAAAGUUCUUUUAAAAGAAGUUAUAGAAAUUAAGUUUCAGGCUACUGGGGUGAAGUUGCUAGAAUCGGUGGACAAAGUGGUUACACUGGAUAAUAAACUAAAAGAUAAAACCAAGUAUACUAAUUUGCUUGAUAGUUUAAAAAAGAUUGGUGGUGGAAAGCCAAGAAAACAUGUUUUUUUGAUCAUGAAAAGAUAUCGGCGACGUGGAAGAAAAUGUUGACGGCAAUGCAGAAAUAUAGUUUCUUAUGUAUAUUUUUGUGAAAUAAAAAUUAAGUAAUGUUAGUUAAAA